rnacentral:rRNA from 1 species
UACGGAGGGUGCAAGCGUUAUCCGGAUUCACUGGGCUUAAAGGGUGCGUAGGCGGAGAGGUAAGUCCGUGGUGAAAUCUCUGGGCUUAACCCGGAAACUGCCAUGGAUACUAUGUGUCUUGAAUGUUGUUGAGGUGAGCGGAAUAUGUCAUGUAGCGGUGAAAUGCUUAGAUAUGACAUAGAACACCAAUUGCGAAGGCAGCUCACUAAGCAAAUAUUGACGCUGAGGCACGAAAGCGUGGGGAUCAAACAGG